rnacentral:lncRNA from 1 species
AAUUUUUCACUUUCAGCUGCAUUUUACUUCCACUCAGAGGAACGAGAGGAGAAACAUAUAAUACAAGAUAGUCCAAGUGAAACAUGGGUCACAGGGCCCCAGACUGUGAGAGGCUGCCGGACAAGACCCUGCUGCACCUCUGUGCCUCGAGAGUAGCUCAGCGCCCAGUGCCGGCCGGACCCCAACGUGGGCUUGCUGGGGCCUUGCUUCCCGGGAGUUCUACCAUCAAGGCAGACCCUGAGCUUGUUUCCACCCAUUUAUGGAGGAAAUGCUUGGGCAGUGUGUGGACUGAGGUGAGUGUGUCAUU